rnacentral:rRNA from 1 species
GUAGGGUGCGAGCGUUAAUCGGAAUUACUGGGCGUAAAGCGUGCGCAGGCGGCUUUGCAAGACAGAUGUGAAAUCCCCGGGCUCAACCUGGGAACUGCAUUUGUGACUGCAAGGCUAGAGUACGGCAGAGGGGGGUGGAAUUCCGCGUGUAGCAGUGAAAUGCGUAGAUAUGCGGAGGAACACCGAUGGCGAAGGCAAUCCCCUGGGCCUGUACUGACGCUCAUGCACGAAAGCGUGGGGAGCAAACAGGAUUAGAUACCCUGGUAGUCCACGCCCCUAAACGAUGUCAACUGGUUGUUGGACGGCUUGCUGUUCAGUAACGAAGCUAACGCGUGAAGUUGACCGCCUGGGAGUACGGCCGCAAGGUUG